UACGUAGGUGGCAAGCGUUGUCCGGAUUUAUUGGGCGUAAAGCGCGUGCAGGUGGUUCGUUGCGUCCGAGGUGAAAUCUCCCGGCUCAACUGGGAGGGGUCUUCGGAUACGGGCGGACUUGAGGAGAGCAGAGGUAGGCGGAAUGCUGGGUGUAGUGGUGAAAUGCGUAGAUAUCCAGCGGAACACCAGUGGCGAAGGCGGCCUACUGGGCUCCACCUGACACUGAGGCGCGAAAGCGUGGGGAGCGAACCGG
rnacentral:rRNA from 1 species